rnacentral:rRNA from 1 species
GAUGAACGCUGGCGGCGUGCCUAAUACAUGCGAGUCGAGCGAACAGACGAGGAGCUUGCUCCUCUGACGUUAGCGGCGGACGGGUGAGUAACACGUGGAUAACCUACCUAUAAGACUGGGAUAACUUCGGGAAACCGGAGCUAAUACCGGAUAAUAUAUUGAACCGCAUGGUUCAAUAGUGAAAGACGGUUUUGCUGUCACUUAUAGAUGGAUCCGCGCCGCAUUAGCUAGUUGGUAAGGUAACGGCUUACCAAGGCAACGAUGCGUAGCCGACCUGAGAGGGUGAUCGGCCACACUGGAACUGAGACACGGUCCAGACUCCUACGGGAGGCAGCAGUAGGGAAUCUUCCGCAAUGGGCGAAAGCCUGACGGAGCAACGCCGCGUGAGUGAUGAAGGUCUUGGGAUCGUAAAACUCUGUUAUUAGGGAAGAACAAAUGUGUAAGUAACUAUGCACGUCUUGACGGUACCUAAUCAGAAAGCCACGGCUAACUACGUG